rnacentral:lncRNA from 1 species
GAAAUCUCUCCCAACUUUCUAUAAUCACUCGGGGCAUCCCGACCCUCGAAUUUGGCGAAAACAGCCCAAAAACGGAAGUCUACGCGAAAAACGGACCUUAGGAACCGAAACCCCUCUUAGGAACCGAACCCUCCUGAUGAAGAAGGCUGCUGAUCCGAACCGAAGGUACUGUUCACUAACCGAACCGAAGGUACUGUUCACUACUGUUCACUACAGUUCGUUCGGUUCUGACAUUCUCGCCUCUUAUCUCCGAACCGAAGCUUCCCUGCUGACCUUCGCUUCUGACUUCGGACCGAGCCUUCGGACGGACCCUCGCUUUCGCUCCUUCUUCUGGCUCGCGCCUUCGUUUCCGACUCAGCAUCAGCAUGGACCGAGCCUCGGCCUAGGGACCGAACCUCGGCCUAGGACCGAGAGGUCUCGCUGGGAAGCCUUUUUCUCCCGGUUUUCGAUUAAAUUCGCGUUUUAAGCCCGUUUUUAAUUGUUUUAACACGGGAUUUUCACCCAAAACUUUAUUUUAACAUAUAAGACCCCUAAAUUAAUGAUUUAAUCACAUUUUAAGGAUAAAACCUUAUCCAAAAGAGAGUAGGUAAAGUACAAAGGUAGAGUGUUGACUUUACCUUAUUUUAUGACACAAGCAACCCCAUACCCACUCCAUGAUUAACCCACACUCCUCCCCACCAUACCUUGUCACUUCCUUGUACUUUUUACCCCUCUCACAAGCCAUCCCCACGUUUUAGGGCUGGUCACUCAACCUCUCUCCUCAUUUUCUUUCAAUCACUCUCAUUCCACCAAAGAUCCAACUCCAACUUUUCUCUCCAACUUUUCUCUCUAAUUCAAGAUCCCAAGGCUGAUCAUCAAGUGUUCUUCCACUCUUGGUAAGUGUAAUUCAUCCUCCUUGUGAUUUUUACACUUCAUUCUACUCAAAUCAUUGAUAGCUUAUACAAACUCCAUAACUAUGAUGCUAGAUUCUCAAAAAUCUUCAAGGCAUCUCCAAGUGUUCUUGAGUUAAACACCUCCAUUCUUCAACAAUCAUCUACUGAAAACACUUAAGGUGAGUUCAUACCCCUACAUUUUCAUGUUUUCUCAAGUUUUUAGGGGGGGAAUACAAGUUAAAACACCAAGAACAUAACUAAACUUUUCUAACAGCCUUCAUCAGAAAAGUUCAACUCCAUUCACGGACUGUUUUGGACAACUUAAACAUUUUAGUUUUCAAAACUGUUUUAGGUGCAAGUAGUUCCACUUCUUAGCUUUAAAAUGACUACUUGUACAUCUCCAUACGAUUUUUCUACAAUUUAUGGUGAUUUUUACAAAACUGCCUAUCAUUUCAAACAUCAAUCCGGACCAGUCUGUGAUUAUGGACUUUUUCACACAAGUUAGAGGUCAUUAAAAAUUAUAAUAAAAAUUAUGAACAAACUAGACUCAUUUUCCAAACUCUCAGAAGUUACAGAACUUGAUUUGGACAUUUUAUGAUUUUUCUACAAAUUUUCCAAUAACAGUUACAGAAAAUGUUAUUAACAGAAAAACACUAUAAAUUUCAUUUCACCUUGUAACAUGUUGAGCAAGGUAUACAUCAUUAUGUGAUUAUGUGUUGUUGCAAUAUAUGACAAUUUUGUAUUCUUAUAUAGACAUACAUCAGAAAACAAAUGGAUUUAUACCUCCACAAGUAUGGUAAAUAUAUAAAUGAUAUUACAAGGCUAUAUCCAUUAAAAUAUAAACAUUGGUAAAUUAUGACAAGUAAGGCUUAUGCUCACUACCCACACAAAUAAUUAAUAAACUAUAAUAGGUAUAGUUUAGGGUUAUUUUACAUAACAAACACAUGAUUAAAGGUUUUACACAUACAAAAGAGUUAUUACCACUAUGGAUAAUUAUGAUAAACUAUAAUAAGUAUAGUUAAGCCAUUAUACCCCCACAAACGAACACGCUAGUUAUAAUCGGUAUAGUUAUGGCAUAUAUAUAUUACAAACAAAGUGAUAAACUAUAAUAGGUAUAGUUUAUGUUUCAUCUACACUAUGAACUUAAUUACAAGAAAGGAAUUCACCAUCACCACCACUUUUGGUAAACUAUAAUAUGCAUAGUUCAUGUUCACUAGUCACUAUCACUAUUUGAUGAACUAUGAUAUGUAUAGGUUAUAUUCACCAUCACCACCACUUUUGGUAAACUAUAAUAUGCAUAGUUCAUGUUCACUAGUCACUAUCACUAUCUGAUGAACUAUGAUAUGUAUAGUUUAUGUUCACAGUCACUAUUACUAUUUCAUACACUACACUAGGGUUUGGUUCCGGUUUUUGGAUUUAAGUCCACAUUAAAUUUUCGCAUUGUUAGACUUCAACUAUAAUCGUUGAGCGUAUAUGCUUGAGUCAUACAAGAAUUUAGUCUGGAUUGGCUUAGAAUUGGUGGUGCCCGCCUCAUCUCCUGUUCCUCGUUGGGUUGUGGACCUAGGGCAGACCCACUAUAUUCAACGUUUUAUCUAACUUAAAUCUUAUAUAACUUAUAUACGCUGGACGAUUAUAGGGGAAAUCUACGGGUCAAUCUAGGGUUCAUUAAUACAUCAUAUAGGAAUAUUCUGUUUACACUUAACUAAGAAAAUAUUGGAUUUUCUGGAAAUCAACUCUAUCGAUUUUAUAAGGAAAACGGUUUCUACUCCAAACAAAACUCUUAUGAACUCACCAACUUAAUUGUUGACACUCUUUCAAAACUACUUGUAUUCUCAGGAAAUCAGUGAAACAGGAAAACUUCAGCGCUUUGAGGAUGGGACGUUAAACCGUCAACAAUUUAUUUUUGUCAUCAUAAUGUAAUUGAUUUUGAAACAUGUAAACAUAUACUUUGGUGUAACUUUUUCAAUUAUAUUUAUGAUGGUUGUAUUUACUUUGAGCACUAUUAUACACGUUGUUGUGAUACUGUACAUGAAGUCCUCCACCCCCGGACGUUUCCGCCAUCCUUGGUUUGGGGGUGUGACAGAUUGGUAUCAGAGCAUUGUUUAUAGUGAACUCAGUAUAUCGAACCACAUAAGAUAUACAAACUAUAAAUACAUUGGGACUGAAAGUCUCUGAUUUAAAGUUUUCAAAGCAACUAUACUUUUAGAAACAAAUAAUUUCUCGGUAAAAGUAGGAGCAUGUGCACACACACUAGGGUCAGUAUCAUGGUGGGAUGGGACAAAAGUGGUGAUUGUUGAACAAUACGAGUAGGCUUGGGGAUGUAUAGUCAGGUCUGGGAAUGACAUAGCCUGAUCAACUAUGUCUCACCCAGAAGUGAUUAGCAUAUGCCCAGGAAUGGUCGUAGGUGUUGCAACAAGUCUAAAACUUACCAACACUACCACAAUGAAAUACCAUAGGGGUAUUUGGUGUUAUUAUAAUUACUUAUUUGAGAACUAAAUAGAUUUUUAUCAAUAGGUCAAUAAUUGCCUAGUGGAUACAUUAAAAUUAUAUGUAUCCAGGACGUCAUAGACUUAGAAUCUGUGGAUCUUUGCUUUACUUCCUGUUCUCGUUGGAUUGGGGAUUUAGAGUUAGGAUCGCUUAUUCGAAGGUCUAUCCUGUCCCAAAUACAUAUGACUAGUAUGCACUAAACAAUAUAUUGAAGUACCUGAUAAAGAUCAUCUUAUAAUUAUCUAAUUAGUACGUCUACUUAGUUAUUUCUUAUAUCCCCAUUUCUCGCGAAGAUAUCAUGGCUGAAUUCCAUCCCCACGACGACCCGUACUACCCUAACCACGACAAUACUGAAUGGCUCGGAGAGGAGCCAGAGAAUGAUUACCGAAUCCCUUUGGAUGGUCACCAAGCUGAAGGCUUUGCUGAUGGUUCUGACUCCGACCCUGAAGUGGAGAACCUACCCUGAUGGCUCUUGUUCCGAAUCCUAUCCCUCGUCCGGUUUUUCAAGGCCCGACGCCUCCUUGGGUAGAGUGCUUGGAAACCUGGAGCGAAGAACACGACCAACCUAGGCUGUUAAAUGGAGACAUUCGAAUCCUUCAGAAUCCGGAGACUACACUAUUCAAGGGAACCGUAGCAUUGCCCAAAAUUUUCCUUACGUUAAUGAGAUGUAGACCUAUUUUCCUCGAACCCUAUAUUACAAACAAUUUACAUAUGGUAACUCCAAGAAAUUCUUAAUAUAUACCAAGUGAUUUUAGGAAGGGAUCAGGCGAAACAAAUCACAAGUUGCAUUUGAGUCACUACCACUAAAAUUCAUUCAUAGGGGCUUUGUUAUGAAUUACAUGCAAAAUACUUUUAAGUCAGAACAUAAUACAGACAAGUCUGGCUUGAUAACAUCUGACUUGUCACUACUAUUAGAAACUUAUCGUUUGUUCGUCUCUACCAACUUAUGACAGGACUAUGCCGCCAAAGAAAAAGUCCAGACCCUCCGGAAGCACAGCACCGCCCCCUCCGCAGUUUGAUCCCAUAAUGUUUCAAGCUGUCGUAACAGCAGCCGUGGCGGCAGCAAUGUCGCAAAUGGGUACAAAUGGUUCCGGCGGCUUCGGAUCCGGGAAUACUAACUCGAAUCAGGGGGACAGCACAGGGCGUACUAAGGAGUGUUCUUACAAAGACUUCACGAAUGGCAAACCCGAUCCUUUCGACGGAAGCGGGGGCGUCAUCGCGCUGAUGCAAUGGUUUGAAAGGACCGAAGCAGUCUUCGAAAUUUGUGCUUGUCCCGAAGCAAGCAAGGUCAAGUAUGCGGCAUUCACCUUCACAAGAAAAGCUCUUACUUGGUGGAACGGCAGAGUUAAGUCGCUUACUCCUGCAGUGGCUAACUCUAUAAGCUGGGAGGAUCUAAAAGCUUUAAUGCUGAAAGAAUAUUGCCCAAGAGGCGAAGUGCAAAAACUGGAAGAGGAACUCUGGAACCUCAAAAUGUCGGGGACGGAUCUCGAAGCUUAUACCGCCCGAUUCAAUGACCUAGCACUCCUCUGUCCUGCAAUGGUCACCCCAGAGGAGAAAAAGGUAGAACGAUACCUUUGGGGGCUAUCAUCCCAGAUUCAUGAUAGUGUAUUGGCCUCCAGACCAACUACCUUCGACAGCGCCAAGGAGUUGGCACAACAACUCAUCGACCAUCGUGCCAGCCAUGACACUACGACAACCACGCCAAUUUUUGUUGUUCAUGCUGCCACAACCCUCACCACGCCAACUCCCAUGAAACAAUACGCUGGAACCCUUCCGAAAUGUAACAAGUGUAGCUUCCAUCACACUGGGGCUUGUAGAGAAUUGCAUUGCAUGAACUGCAAUAGGAAAGGGCACACUACCCGUUUCUGUAGGGCACCGGCACGACCCAUCAACCAGUUCCCCGGCUUUGGAGUAAGCCCAGCCUGUUACAAGUGUGGAGAAACAGGACACUUUAAAAGGAACUGCCCAAGUGCAAGAGAUGCCAGUGGUGGUGGAAGGGUGCUUGCGAUCACCGAAGGAGAGACCACCCCGGAACUGCCUGCAAACAUCAGUAUGUGUUUCUAACAUCGACGACUAAAUUCCAAAUUUCUUUAUUUGAUUAAGUCUAGCAUCGAUUAAAGCAUGCAUAGUAGUAAUGCCAAGGAUUAAACUGAGAGCAUAAACAAUAAGAAAUUCCAAGGCCGUCAUGAGACCAUUCUAUGAAUUUACUUCGACUCCGUAAUGGGACUGCAUCAUAGGGAUGUAGGUCAAACCUUCGAGAACAUACUUCUACUCUAUAGGUGAACGGUUGAAAUACAUCUAGGUUCAAUGAUAGCCCUGACUAGGAACUCUAAUUCAUUAAGAAGGAUUACUAAGAAUGUUAUUUGUUAUGAUUUCCUCACUUAUACAUUCCCCAGUUAUAUAUAACGAAUACCUGGUAGAUAAUAGAAUGUGAGAAUUCUGACUUAGUUUCUUUUCCUCGUUGGGAUGUGAAACUGAAGUAGAAUCACACAUUUUACUAUCCGCCCAGUAUUGGUUAUAUCAUAAUGUGUAUAAGCUAAGUUUUCAUGUAUAAUAACUCAUCUCUUAGUCAGAAUCAAAAUAAUGUAGAGCCGACCUUAGUCAUUCACAAACUCCUUGCCUGAUUUCAAAUUUCGGGACGAAAUUCCCUCUAACGGGGGGAUGAUGUGACAACCGUCAAUUUUCGGUCAAGUCAAAGUCAACUAAAGUCAACAAGUCAAACCGGUCAACUCAAUUUGCCGUGAGUACUAGAGUUUACGUUAUGUAAUUUCUAAACAACUCUCUAUUCUAAUGAGAGAUCAUAAAUCGAAAAGUGCGUACAUCUAGAUCUCCUUAACCUAAAACGGUGGUACGUGGAGAGCCAAACCGAUAAAACAAUGUUACAUACUCAUCGGGAGUAUGCAAGAUCCUUAAACAAGGCUUAACGGGGUUUACGGACCUUGCAGUGCGAAGCCGGACACUCAAAAAGGUCACCAAUGAAACCUCUCUCAAUCGUUUUCACUCCAUCUCUUUGUAUGAGAAACCUCUCCAAGAAUGUCAAAUCUCUCCCAAAUCUCUCUACGAAUGUGAAAUCUCUCCCAAAUCUCCCUUUUGAAUGAGAAAUCUCUCCAAGAAUGUCAAAUCUCUCCCAAAUCUCGCUUUGUAUGAGAAAUCUCUCCAAGAAUGUCAAGUCUCUCCCAAAUCUCUCUACGAAUGUGAAAUCUCUCCCAAAUCUCUCUUUGUAUGAGAAAUCUCUCCAAGAAUGUCAAGUCUCUCCCAAAUCUCUCUACGAAUGUGAAAUCUCUCCCAAAUCUCUCUUUGUAUGAGAAAUCUCUCCAAGAAUGUCAAGUCUCUCCCAAAUCUCUCUACGAAUGUGAAAUCUCUCCCAAAUCUCUCUUUGUAUGAGAAAUCUCUCCAAGAAUGUCAAGUCUCUCCCAAAUCUCUCUACGAAUGUGAAAUCUCUCCCAAAUCUCUCUUUGUAUGAGAAAUCUCUCCAAGAAUGUCAAGUCUCUCCCAAAUCUCUCUACGAAUGUGAAAUCUCUCCCAAAUCUCUCUUUGUAUGAGAAAUCUCUCCAAGAAUGUCAAGUCUCUCCCAAAUCUCUCUACGAAUGUGAAAUCUCUCCCAAAUAUCUCUUUGUAUGUGAAAUCUCUCCAAGUAUGUCAAGUCUCUCCCAAAUCUCUCUAAGUAUGUGGAAUUUCUCUCAAAUCUCUCUAAGUAUGUGGAAUUUUUCUCUCGAAAUCUCUCCAACUUUCUAUAAUCACUCGGGGCAUCCCGACCCUCGAAUUUGGCGAAAACAGCCCAAAAACGGAAGUCUACGCGAAAAACGGACUUAAGGAGCCGAAACCCCUCUUAGGACCCGAAACCCCUCUUAGGAACCGAAACCCCUCUUAGGAACCGAAUCCUCCUGAUGAAGAAGGCUGCUGAUCCGAACCGAAGGUACUGUUCACUAACCGAACCGAAGGUACUGUUCAUUACUGUUCCCUACAGUUCGUUCGGUUNN